rnacentral:misc_RNA from 1 species
GAUUAAGAACGUAGCGAAAUGCGAUACGUAAUGUGAAUUGCAGAAUUCAGUGAAUCAUCGAAUCUUUGAACGCAUAUUGCGCUCUCUGGUAUUCCGGAGAGCAUGCUUGUUUGAGUAUCAGUAAACACCUCAACUCCCCUUUCUUUUUUUGAAAUGGGAGCUGGACUUGAGUGAUCCCAACGCUUUUCUCACCGAAAAGUGGCGGGUUACUUGAAAUGCAGGUGCAGCUGGACUUUUCUCUGAGCUAAAAGCAUAUCUAUUUAGUCUGCCUAAAAAACAGAUUAUUACCUUUGCUGCAGCUAACAUAAAGGAGAUUAGUUCUUGUGCUGACUGAUGCAGGAUUCACAGAGACAGCUUCGGCUGGCCUUUGUAAACUCGAUCUCAAAUCAAGUAAGACUACCCGCUGAACUUAAGCAUAUCAAUAAGCGGAGGA